rnacentral:misc_RNA from 1 species
AACGCAUAUUGCGCUCUUUGGUAUUCCGAAGAGCAUGCUUGUUUGAGUAUCAGUAAACACCUCAAAGCUUUUGGAUUUUUUUUUGAAAGCUUUGGACUUGAGCAAUCCCAACACCAAUCUUUUUCAGAUCGGCGGCGGGUUGCUUGAAAUGCAGGUGCAGCUGGACUUUCUCCUGAGCUAAAAGCAUAUUCAUUUAGUCCCGUCAAACGGAUUAUUACUUUUGCUGCAGCUAACAUAAAGGGAGUUUGACCGCAUUGGCUGACUGAUGCAGGAUUUCACAAGGGUCGGCAACGAUUCUUGUUAAACUCGAUCUCAAAUCAAGUAAGACUACCCGCUGAACUUAA